UUUUUUCCCCACCAAUUUCACCCACUCUUCCACUCACACUUAUAAGCUGACCCACUCUUCCACCCACACUUAUAAACUGAUUUCACCUAUAAAAGCCUCCAUCCUUUAACGCCUAUUCAUCCCAAAAUCAAUUCUUCUCAUUGAGCUUUCUACUUAAUUCAGUUUCCCAAUCUUGAGCUUCUUCUCAAUCAUAUUCUACAGCAGCUGAACAAUAGAAUAAUCUCAUAAUAAUUUCAUAAAACAAAGGAUCGCCUUUUACUCAACCAUCGACUGGCUUUGAGCAUCAGGAGGAUUAGCACUGCUAUUCCGAUUCAGAGAUAAGGUUAAACGACAGGCUUUGCCUAGACAGGUUGAUUGGUCGGUGCUGACGGAGCAGAGCUGAGGCUAGGGUUCAACUCCGUAUUUUGUCUUCCGCUGUUGCACUAGCUCUUAUUUGUCUUUUAUUUCUCCAACUUAAGACUUUUAUGUUAAAUUCUGAAUUAUGUUUUCUUAUCGAGCUUAAACUCUCAACUUCUAGCUCUAUGUUAUUAACGUUGGUUAUCGGAAGCAUGAAACCGAACUUGUGAUCCUAAGGCUUAGAAUGUUGUUGAUUGACUAAUAUCACUUGAUUUUUGUCUUUCU